ensembl:lncRNA
UAGGGCCAAUAGCUGGGGAGGGGGACAGGGGGCUGUGGGGGGCUGUGGGGGUUGUGGGGGGCGUGGGGGGAUAUGGGGCCCAUAGCUGGGGAUGGGGACCAUGGGGGGCUAUGGGGCAGCUAUGGGGCAGCUAUGGGGCAGGUAUAGGGGUCUGGACACCAGGGGACGCUAUGGAGCAGCAAUGGGGCCGUUAUUGGAAACCUAUGGGGCAGCCAUGGGGCGGCUAUGGGGCCGCUGUGGGGCGGCUAUGGGGCGGCUGUGGGGCAGAGAUGACUCCACUGGGUGCUAUAGGGCACUGCAGGCCGCUGGGGGGCGCUAUGGAGCAGCAAUGGGGCCGUUAUAGGAAACCUAUGGGAAGUCUAUGGGGCAGCUAUGGGGCAGCUAUGGGGUAUCUAUGGGGCAGCUGUGGGGCAGCUAUGGGGCAGGAAAGGGCAGAUUAAGGGCAGGUAAAUGGCAGCUAUUGGACACCAGGGGGCGCUAUGGAGCAGCAAUGAGGCCGCUAUAGGAAACCUAUGGGCCGGCUAUGGGGCAGCUAUGGGGCAGCUAUGGGGCAGCCUUGGGGCACGCACCGACUCCAUCCGAAGAUGGGGGGCGCCGUCCAGGCGCAGGCCCAAAUCCAGGAGAAAAGGAUCCCGGCCACCGCCAGCUUGCCGUCGAAUUUGAUGUUGCCGAAGGGUUUGCAGACCACGAACCAGCGCUCCCACGAGAUGAUGGCCAGCGACCACAGCGCCGUGAUGCCUGCGGGCGGCCGCCAGCGCUGCCCCACCGAUCCCAGCCCCAUAGAUCCCUGCCCCAUAGAUCCCUGCCCCACGGGUCCCGGCCCCAUAGAUCAGCGCUGCCCCACCGAUCCCGGCCCCACGGAUCCCUGCCCCACGGAUCCCGGCCCCAUAGAUCCCGGCCUCAUNNNNNNNNNNNNNNCCACGGACCCCGGCCCCAUAGAUCCCGGCCCCACGGAUCCCGGCCCCAUAGAUCCCUGCCCCAUAGAUCAGUGACCCAUAGAUCCCGGCCCCACGGAUCCCGGCCCCAUGGAUCCCUGCCCCAUAGAUCCCUGCCCCAUAGAUCCCGGCCCCACGGAUCCCUGCCCCACGGAUCCCGGCCCCACGGAUCCCUGCCCCAUGGAUGCCAGCCCCAUAGAUCAGCGCAGCCCCACAAAUCACUGCCCCAUAGAUCCCUGC